rnacentral:rRNA from 1 species
AUACGUAGGGGGCGAGCGUUGUCCGGAAUGAUUGGGCGUAAAGGGCGCGUAGGCGGCGCGGUAAGUCUGGAGUGAAAGUCCUGCUUUCAAGGUGGGCAUUGCUUUGGAUACUGCCGCGCUUGAGUGCAGGAGAGGUUAUCGGAAUUCCCGGUGUAGCGGUGAAAUGCGUAGAGAUCGGGAGGAACACCAGUGGCGAAGGCGGGUAACUGGACUGCAACUGACGCUGAGGCGCGAAAGUGUGGGGAGCAAACAGGAUUAGAUACCCUGGUAGUCCACACUGUAAACGAUGAAUGCUAGGCGUAAGAGGUAUCGACCCCUUUUGUGCCGGAGUCAACACAAUAAGCAUUCCGCCUGGGGAGUACGGCCGCAAGGUUGAAACUCAAAUGAAUUGACGGGG